GCCACCUCAUAGCUCAGUGGUGGAGUAUUUGCCUUGCAUGCAGGAGGCCUGGGGUUCAAUCCCUAGCAUCUCCA